UACAGAGGUUUCAAGCGUUGUUCGGAUUCAUUGGGCGUAAAGGGUGCGUAGGCGGCGCGGUAAGUCGGGUGUGAAAUCUCGGAGCUUAACUCCGAAACUGCAUUCGAUACUGCCGUGCUUGAGGACUGGAGAGGAGACUGGAAUUUACGGUGUAGCGGUGAAAUGCGUAGAUAUCGUAAGGAAGACCAGUGGCGAAGGCGGGUCUCUGGACAGUUCCUGACGCUGAGGCACGAAGGUCAGGGGAGCAAGCGGG
rnacentral:rRNA from 1 species